UAUCUUAAAAUGUACUGUUUGGCAAAUACUGAUUUACUUCAACUCCUCCUAAGACCUAAGGCCAACAGUAAAACUGAAGCCCAAGACGUGGGAGGAUUUGCCCAAGGCUGCAUAAUCAGAGGAAAAUCCAGCCAUCCUGACUCGGAACUGUCUCAGCAGGCCUGGCUUUGAAUUUCAGACGUUGCCAUGGAGGACCAGGGGAUCUCAGAUUUGCAGGAGAGAUAUUAUCAUGAUCCCCAUUCUGCAGAUAAGACAACUGAGGCUCAGAACAGUGAGAAGACUUUCUGAGCAGUCUUCCAUCGGGCAGUGUCGGGAUUUGAACCCAGGUCUCAAAGAACAUCUACGAUCUAUGGUGUAUUGGAGCCUUGCUCUGUGCCCAGCAUUUUAAUAACAGCAGCAUCACAGCAAUAACAAUACUGAACCCUUGUCUGCACUUGACUCCCGUCAGCUCAUUUAAUACAACAAUCCUCAUGCACCAGAACCCCGAUUUCCAGAUAAGGAAACACAGCACGGGAAAGAUAAACAUUCUGUGCAUCCUGCUGGUUAGUGCGGCACAGCCACUUUCAGAACUCAGGCCUGGCCACCAGCCAACUCGGAACGCCCUGGCUGAACCCCUCCAUCCGCACAUGGCCCCAGCGUGUCUCCUGGCCCACCACCCCCGGCAGAGCCUUUGAUGUUUACAAUUCCACCCUGGGAGGCUUUGAAAACUCCCCCUACACGCCGCCUGCGACUGCCGCCUGCCCCGCCAGGGCUUGUAUCCGCCCAGCCUGCCUUGCAAUGGCUUUUAUUGAUUCUCUGGCCUGCCAGCCUGUGCCGGGAACACACUCUUUUUAAUGGAGCGUUAAUUGGGAGGGAAGAGAGAGAAAGCUGUUCCCCUGCCCAGCAGGGACUGAGUCUCCUGUCUCCUCCUCCUUUCUCCCAGGCUGGGAUGUGGCGGCAAGGACCCCAGGCCUGGCGUCCUGGGCAGGCCUAGACUCUUCCUGCUGCUGACUCAUGGCGUGACCUCGGACAAGUUCCGCUUGGGCCUCAGCCUCCUCAGCUGUGAAAUGGGAGCAGACAGCCCUGCUUCUCAGGGCCGGAGUGAGGAUUACUUGGAAGAAGGAAUCUAAGAGUCUUAGUCCAGUUUUUGGUACCUAGUAGGUGCUCAAUAAAUCAUCAAAUCUCUUCUGGCCUCCCAAUUCCCAAGACAGCCUGAGUUUGAAUCUGGGCGGCCUUGGACAAGUUACUUUCAGCUUUCUGUGCCUCAGUUUCGUCAUCUGUGAAAAGAGGAGACAGACAGGCCCCACCUCCUCUGGUUGCCUUCACUGAGAUGCUACAGGUAAAGGGCGGAGUGCGGUGCCUAGCGGAAAGUAAAUGCUCAAUCAAGGUCCCAGUUAGUAUCCUCAUAGUGACUGUCAGGCCUCAGCGCCCUUAUCUGGAACAAGGGGCCCCAUUCCUCUUGAAACCUGCGCUGAUCAUUAGCUCUAGCGUGUCACAGCACUUAACACACUCUUCUAGACUGUGCUGUGACACUGUGCCCCAUCUCGUCCUUGUCUUUGUAUUUCUUCUCUAUCUGUUUGACUUACCCUUUCUAUUAAUUUUUUUUUUUUCUGUCAAAACCUGUGACGUGGUUUCUACUUCCCUGACUGUGCUCUGACUGAUAGAUACAGCCCUCAAAGGCCCCAGCCACUGGGUCAGGUUGAGGUGUCUCCUGGAAGCCAGGGAGAGCACAGCUUUUCCAGAAAGAUAACUUCUGUGGCCUGCAUUCCUGAGCCCUGAAGUCACCUGUGUCACGCUGUCACAGCUCACCCUCUAAGGGAACAAACAUUCUCUUGGCCAUUCCUGGGGCUGAGGCCUACACCCUUCUCCCGGGCUCUCUCUCACUCCUGCCCCUCACUCACCAGACACCUCCACGUAUCCGUCCUUGGUCUUCACCAUCAGCUCCUCUGGCUUAAAGCUGUGCACGUUAACACACACUUUCCAGGGCUCCCCAGGGAAGGGUGGGGGGCUCCUGCCCUGAGCAGGUACCCCGAACCUGGCUGCAGCCGUGGGCCCCCGAGGCACCAUGCCUGACCUUAGGGUUCCAGGCCAUGCUGGGGAGAAUCGAGGCAGGGCCCAGUUGUGCCAAGAGGCAGUCAAGUCGUCCGGGAAGGGGUCCAUGCCAAAGUCAUCAUCCAGCAGGCGCGAGGGGAGGGAUGAGUCUCGGAAGGGGUCUCUGCGCAGGCGGCUUGGGAGGUGGCAGGAGAAGGGCAUCUGACCAUCAGCCAUGGCUGCUGAGCUGGAGGGGAAACGGAGGCUCAGAGAGAGGGAGCCACCUGCCCAAGGUCACACAGCAAGGUGAUGUGGGUGGGUUGGCCCUCCAAGCUUAUUUUUCUGCUUCAGAAAAUGCCGAACCAUCCACUGCCAAGGACAGAGGGUGUGCACCCGGCUGGGAUCCCAGCCCCCAAAGACACUCCAAAGGCUACCACCAGCUGGUCCAGCAGAAUUCCAGAGGGCCCCUCUCCGCUCUGCCUCACCAGAGAUCCGCCAGUCACUGUCCUCCCAGACUGUCCAGGCUCUCAGCCAGAGCCACUGAGAUGUCUAGAGGAGAGUCAGGAGCUUAAUAAACCCAGGGACGCAGGCCUAGAAACUUCUCCUUGCUUCUUCAGGGCUGAGAGCCUUCUAUUUAUUGCUGCUUGGGGCUGGAGGCGGGUUUUUCGAGCGCCUCCUGUCACAGGAGUAUUCGGAGGUGAUGAACCAGCCCCUGAGAAUCCGCUGAGGGAACAGCUGGGCUCCCAGGGGUAGGGGAGGGGCCGAGUUCAGCCAGCCAGUCGGACACUCUCUUCCCGCCCCCCCCUCCCGGCUGGGCUCAGCUCCGCCCCCUCUCCCAGGGCUCGCUCCGGAGCCGCCUCCCCACUCUCAGUGCAAAGGCCGGCUAUUAAUAACCCUCUGCCUGCUGAGGGCUCAGGUCACCCUCGGUAAUACCUUCCCCAGAGCCUGCUGCCUCCUGCAGAAGGAGGGGAGAGGGUUGGGAGCCCAGUGCAUCUGAAGGCAGGUGGCUUUGGGCCGCAAUGCCCACUUACAACCCGGCGUGGACACUUGCCUUCAGUGUCCUCUGAGAGCAGUAACAUUAUUCCCCAGCCACCUGUGAGCUGUCAGUUUUCCCAGCUGUAAAAUGGACCCCAUAGUAGCCACUGCAUGGAUGUGUCAUGAGGAACACAUGAGGUAACCAUCCUUAAACAUUUAGCAGACUGCCACUUUCGCAUAGUCAGUUUGGAGUUCUCCAUUACACGAUGCUUGCUGUAUGCUGGGUCCUGUUCUAAGCGCUUUCCAAAUAUGAAACCGGCUUCAACGGCACCACCAAUCCCGGGAGCAGUGCCUGCAUGAGGCCGUUUGCUAAAAAUAAUUCUAUGGAGAGCAACAGUUACCAUCAUUUUUGGCCUCCCCUUAUGCUUCUGUGGUGAGCACGUGCCAACCCGUUGAACCGUCACAACAUCGGGGAUGUUAUCACCACCCCCAUUUUGCAGGGGUCUGGAGCUCUUGUUCCAGGCGUGGGCGCAGAUCCUGGUGGCCUGCCGCAUUCAGGCUCCAGAUGGAGAAAGACCCACGUCAGAGUUCCCUCCGUUGGACACCCCAGGAGCCCAGCACAUCUGCAGCAAAUAGGAGAGGUGUAGGCUCGUGUCUUUUUCCAUUCCCUUUCUCAGACCCCCGAUGGAAUUUCCAGCACGUUCGGCUCCACGGGGGCAGGACCCUCGGGUGUCUUGCUCGCAGCAGCAUCCCCGGUGCCUGGAAGGGUGCCUGGUGCGUUGUCGGAGCUCGGCAGGUCUUGCCAAGCAGGUGAUGUCCCGUUAGCGACCCAGUGUCACAGUUGCCUGGCUCACAUGUGGCAGACCCUAUACGCAGUAACAGCAUUAGAAUAGGGCUAAAAUUUCCAGAGUGCCUAGAAGGUGCCAGCACCCAGUGGAAUGCUUUCCAAGCGUGCUAUUUAUUUAUUCCUCACCACAGCCCCCCUCCCAGAAGUUCAUACCAUCAUCAUCUCCAUCUGACAGAUGAGGACACUGAGGUUCAACACGGGAGGGAACUUGUCCAAGGCCACCAGCUUGUGGGUUCUAAACCCAGCUGUGUCUGAACUUCAAGCCCUGUGCUCUUUCCUUGGCCAAAUGCCGGGGCAAAUACAAGAUGAUUAAUAAAUGAAAUAAAUAAAUAACCCACGUGGUCCCUCCCUACCCAAGUCAAUGCCCUCAUAAUCCUACACAGCUAAUGCUUAUUUAUUCAGCUCUAGCUUCCUGCUACUAUUAUGUCCAAAAUUCUUUCCAGAAUGUUCUGAAUAACAGUAAUUCACGAUUGCUACGCUUUCUGUUUUGUGGAGGAAAGUUUUAUUAAUUAUACGGGAAAGGGAAUAUAUGGAAUUAAAUAAUUCGAGUAAACAUAAAGAGGGGGAGAGUAUAGAGAAGAACAGAGAAGGGUUAACACAUCAAAUCAGGUACUCGCAACAUCCAACCUCUGGCUGGGGGAGCGCCUUGGUGAACAGCCCCCUCUGGAGUCCCGACUGAGGGUCCUGGGCAGAAUGUCCUCCCCUCGGGUGAAGCUUCCAACUAUUCCCGCCAGGGCAAUAUAUACACUACCCAUGUGUGACCUCUGGUUAGUCAUGAAGUUUGCCUAAGUGCAGUCCUGAGCAAGCUGGGUUUUUUCUCUGUGUCUCUUAUCCUAUCUCACAAUCUUAGGAGCCUGGGCCUGUGCACGUUUCUCUUCCCGCCCUGAUCCAUUCCAGGGGACCAGCCUGGUGUGGCUCGAGAAGGUGAGGCAAGUUAAUCCCCCUUGGCGUCAGGAACAGAAGGGCCAAUUCUGAUCCCGAGGCCAGAUACGGAGCACAAGCCAACUAAGCCCCCCAUGACGGUGUGUGUGUGGCUCUGGGCAGAAAUGCAUGACAAGUCUCACAAACACGCUCUAUACAGAACACAGGGAUCGCUUCCUCUGACCACCUCUGCAAGUAAUAAUAAUAAUAAUACUUAUUUAACAUUUUGUAAUAGUUGUCUUUUGCAUAAACUGAUUUAUUUAAUCCUCAUCCAAAUUGCUUUAAGAUAGGUAUUAUUAUCCCUGUUCACAGACGACAAUAUCGAGGCACCAAUAUUGAGGCACAGAGAGGUUAAAUUACUCGCACCAGCUCACACAGCUACAAAGUAGCAGAGCUGAUACUCAAAUCCAGACAGUCUGGCUGAGCCUGUGGAUAACAGCUCCCAAACAACAAAAUAGUAACGAUCUCCACCAUUGCUGGAGAACUCUUACGUGCCAAGCUCCACUAAAGACCCUACCUUACCUCUGUCAUUCCUUAUGACAACCCUAUGAGAUAGUAGCAUAUUGUUAACUGUUUUCUGUUGACAACUAAAGGCACAGAGGCAGAUGUGUGCUGAUUGCUAAGCCUGUAUGCUUCGCUGUCCGGUGGGCUAUGCUACGUGGUCCCCACUGAAUGGCCAGAGCAAGCGCUGUCCAAACCCAUAAGGGACCCGAAAGACCACAGUUCACCAGCCCACCUCUCCCUCCACCUUCUCGUUGGGCCUCCUUCUCUGGAAACUUCUUUGGGUCCUUCCAGACGUUCUCGGUAGAACAAGUGACACCAGGAACUCACUGAUAUUUGGAAGCCUGGUGGCUGCCUGGGACAAGCCAUCACUGUGUCAACCAGAGGGAUCCUUAUGUGUUACCAGUGUGAAAGCUUCUCGGAGCCAAGGGCUCAGUGGACUCAAUGGGAGCUCCUCUUAGCGGCAUAUGUCCCUGGGAGAAGGGAGUCAGGGGUCAGCUGUGGGAGGAGAGGCUUCACGCAACCCCCUCUCCACCCAUCUUCAAAGAGGGACAUCCCUAGCCAAGGGCUCACAGGGGCCCUCUACUUAUUCCUGGGCCUUUAUCAGGGCUUUUAAAGUCCCCUUUCACAGCCCGAAUAGUCAUUCUGCAGCCUGGGAAAUAGUAUCUCAACUAACCAGGCUUUUUGUUUUUUGUUUUUUGUUUUUUUUUUUAAAGAAGUAACAGUGUUGGUACUUACUGCUUAAGAAAGAUAGUGAAGCCUGGGGGGUAGGAACCUGAACAGACCCAGAUCGGCUGCUCUGGGCCAGUGGCCUAGCCUCUCUGAGCCUCUGCCUUGUCAUCUGUAAAAGGGGAAUGUCGGAAGUACCUACCUAUCUCACUGGGUAAUUGGCAUGGAUCAUGAGGGGGGAAAUGGUUGGGGAGGUGGGCAUGGGCCAGAUGAUGUAGGGCCUUCUGGACCCCGUUUAAGAGUUAGGCUUUGUCCUGAGCAUUUUGAGGACCCAUUGAACUAUUUGGAGAAGGAGAGUGGUAUGAUGAGUUCUAGGAAAAUCACCUGCUACUUGUGGAGAGGGUGCUGGGGGACAAAACUCCAGGGAGACCAGAGAAGAGGCUGUUGUAGGGUCCUGGGAACAUGGUGGCUUGGGCUGGGUUGUUGGCUGAGGAGAGAUAACGGGUGGACAUAAUCCAUGAUGUAUUAAAGAAGCAGAAACAUUUUGGCUGAGGGAUUGGACUGGAGGAGAGGAGAGGGCACAUCAGACUCCCCGUCUGGUUGUAAGACAUGGGCAACUGCGAGUUGGUGAUGGCGAUCGUUGACCAUGUGUGGAGGAGCAGACACAGGGGAGGGGGGAGACUCCAUUCAUUCAUUUACUCAUGUGUUGAUUCAUCACAUAUUUACUAAGUUCUUACGUGCAAAGCACUAGACUAGGGGCUAGACAUGAGACACAAGUCUGUGUUCUCACGCCUAUCGAUAAGCAAAUCAUCAGUCAACAGUUAAAACAAUUUUAGAUGCUACAAAAGUUUCAUGAAGCAAAUUGAGGCUCCUGGCUACCUUUCUGAUCUGAUUCCCUGCUGUCAUCCACCCCUUGCUCACUGUGCUGGAGUCUUGGUGGCCUUCUUUCUGUCCUUUGGACAGAAGAGCCACACAUAUUCCUGUCUGAGGACUUCGCUCGUGCCGUUCCCACUGCCUAUGACACUGUUCCCCCAGAUUUCCUCAGGACUGGUCUCUCACUUCAUUUGUGUCUCUACUUAAAUUUCACCUACUCAGAGAAACCUUCUCCAACCAUUUGAUCUGAAGUCACGUUAGCUGGUUUUUCUUCCUAGCGCCGGCUGCGAACUGAGUUAUAUUUUAGGCCUCGAUUGUUGUCUGCCCCUUCCAUUAGAACCUAAGCUCCGUGGGGGCCGAGGGUAGGGACUGUGGUCUGAUUGUUUAGGGCUGUGUCAUGGGCACCUAGAACAGUACCCAGCACGUAGUUGGGAUUCAGUAAAAUUCAGGGCACGUGAUAGGAAGCAACACACUUCCUGAUGCCAUUGUGGUUGGUAAGAGCCAUGUAACUAGUUGUGGCCAAUGAGUGGUGAGCAGAGGUGAUACCUGUCACUGUCAGUUCCAAGCAUGUGAGUAACCCAUGGGAGACCUCCGCUCCAUGACAGGAGGACCCUUGGUUGAUUUCUCUUCCUUCUGCACUAUGGUCACCAACAUCUCUGAUGGGUAGGGUGUCCCUGCUGGUCCACAAUGGACAUGGCGGACAGAUGAACCUUUGUUCCCUUAAGACUGAAAUUUUGGAUUUGUUUGUUUGCUCCAUCGUGAUGCAGACAAUUCUGAUGGAUCGACCUCCAAAUUCUGUGUUUUUGUGGUUGUUGGUAUUGCUUCAAAAGAACUUCCUCAAUGUGAAUAUCAUUCUAAUAAACCAGUGUAUCUGCUUCUCUGCCAAGAGCCUUUGCUGGGAAAGUGGUACCUAUUCCUCUCAGUUUGAGACCUUUAGGUAGAGUGCCAUUGGAGGCACAAAUGCAGAGGGGUGGCUCUGAGAUCCUUCGAGGGAGGGAGAGCUGGAGAGCCUGUGAUCUUGAGGCCCCCUUUUCCAUCUCUGAGGUCAGAGCAGGAGCUGGUUUGACCAGUUGGUGACAUGACACCAGGCAACUGCUUUGGAAAGUUUGUUUUGUGUUGUUUUUAGGUCUGGGAAUGACAGCUCCUAGGAGGGUUUGGCCUGAAAGGGUUCUCAUGGUUUGUGCUGGGAGGGGAGGAAGGUUGGAGGAGAUGAGGAGGACGUAUAGAGAAGGACAAGGAUAAACAAGAUACCUCCUUCUGAGCACUCUCUUAGCCUCACCCUGAGUAUGAAUUAAGAUUCAUUU